CCCUGCAGCGGCGGCUGUUGUUUUUCAGUCAACAGAGACCUAAGAUGGUGGUCUCAGCCCCUGGGGGCCCACAGGGGCAUUUUCUGUCCCGUGCUGGAAAAUGUCCUUGUGGGGCACUGGGGUGAGGCUGAAGAUGGCUGUGGUGCACCGUGGGGAGAGGCAGGGCGCCCCAGCAGGGGAGCUGUCAUGGAGAAUCUAGAGAGCAGUGGCCGUGACACUUGCCGGCCGCACAGCUUCUCCUGCGUUGGGCCCUGAAAUUUGUAUCUUGGAAAAAAGACAGCGAUGCAGCCACUGCGAUCAGAGGAGCCACCCGAGUGGCAGCUGUCCUGCUCUCGGGGGAUGCAGAAACGUGACUAGAAGAACAGGACACCCAGGUCCGCACUGGAGGCUCUGCAGCUGACUCAAGGC